GCGGCAGUGAUGAGGAUUUCCUCGAUGAAAGGAUCGAGACGCUGGAGGACUGUGAGGUUGAGGAGCCGCGUACUGUUCUGAUCCAUAUUUGGUGGGAUCAGCUUCCCGUUCUGAGACAUCUUUUUCUAAAUCUGGGGGAAUAGAUGGUUCGAUCUGGUUUAGCUCGAAUAGGAAGAACCCUAGGGAUUCUGAUUUACGCAAAGCUCAGAUUUGGGGGUUGGAGAAAGCCGGGCGAGAGGUAUUGGAGAACUCACGAGAUCACUUUCGCUUGGGAAAAGAAAGGAUAUGGGUGUUUGGUAAUAGUUUAAGGCCUUUUUUAUUGGGCUUGGGCUCUAGUUAGUAUGGGCCCAGACGCCAUCUCCAUCAGGGUUAAAAUUUUGAUUAAUUAAUUUAUAGCAAAAACUUUUUAAAGACUAUCCCAUAAAAUUUCUCAAACUGGCAAAUUAUUUCAAAUAGCUCAUUUUUAAGUUUUUGUCUCAAAAAUAGUAUCAAGAAAAUGAUCAAAAUAGUUUUUUUUUAAAAAAAAUUAUUAAUAUUUAUUUUUUAUUUUUAAAAUUUUGAAAUCAUAUCCCAAAACCUCACCCCUUAAUUCAUAGAUUAGUUAACCAUAGGAUAGAAUUUAAUUACUUAUUUUGGUCAUUUUUUUCAUAUAGAACUAUUUUUACAAUUUUUGUAACAAAAACUUAAAAUGACUAUCGUAAAAAAUUUCUCAAACCUAUAUAUUAGUACUUCCAAGAUGUCCUAAAAAAAUUUCAAAUCUAUAUUUUUCUAAAAAAAUUUUUUGUAAAGUUUAAAACAUAUAAUGAAGCAUAUAGUAUGGUUGAAAUCUUACGUGGAGAAUGAUCUUGUAUGUGUUUAAACAAUUUGGUUAAUACAAAGUAGAAGUUUGAGAAAAAAAAACAUAUAAU